rfam:Biomphalaria glabrata isolate BB02 unplaced genomic scaffold LGTN_random_Scaffold6381, whole genome shotgun sequence.
UUCACGAGACUUAGAUCUAUGUCUGAUAUCUGUACAUUUCUUAGAUCGUACAGAUAUCAGACAUAGAUCUAAGUCUCGUGAA